UCUUUCCUUUUUAUGGGAGAAAUAGAGCAGAGAGGAGUGAAAUAACCCCAGAGGUGAAAAAAUAAAAAUUAUCCAUGCUUGGAACGGGACGUCCUAAUUCUGUCAGUCAUCCCGAUGACUAUUUCUGUGGAAUAUAAGAGGGAAACCAGCGUGUCUCCCAGGAAAACUGCCCUUUCAGUCCAGGGCCUCAGGGAAGAUCUUUGAUGCAUUCUUCUUCCUUGUGCCCUCUCUUCAUUACACAUAGCCUUUCAUGAAGCUUACAAGAAGGGACAUGAGCACAGGCGCCCAGUUUGCAACAACCUGGUUUUUCCUAGAAGAUGGAAUAUUACAACUAGAGGAGACCAUAAAAAAAAAUACAUGCCGACCUCCUUAUCUCCAUUAAAAAAAAAAAGAAAAAAGAAGAAAGGUAAUUGAGGCCAAGCGAGCUGAAGUGAUCUGCUCAGUGUGGCACCGUCAGCUGCAGCAGUAACAGAAUCAGACAAAACCAGUCUCCUAUCUGCUGUGCUCUUCUGUUACUGCACGUCCAGAGAGCAAGGGCCUGCAGCGUCAUGCUCUCCACGCUGCAGGCUGAGCACAGCUUGUUUCCAAAGGCCUCCUGGAUCCGGAGAACUAGGCGUUUGUGGUGGGCCUCAUCCAUGGCGUAGAAGUGGUUGAAAUCCAGGAAGACAAUCUCUUGGGGGUGCUGUGUAAGAAAUGAGUCAAUCUCCAUCAGCCCAUCCGAGACCUUGAUGCCAAAAAGUCCGUGAAUGAAGUAGAUCUCCUGGUCGGCAUCCCCGGGUUUAGAAGACACACGUAGGUCGAAGUAGCGGAUCCCAGCUUCCAGCUGCUCUCGGAACGUCAGGUUCUGAGUCACGGACCAUUUCUUCAUUAGCUUCUUCACCAAGGAGAUCCUGGCGAGGCGUUUGAUGGCUGGGGUUUGGUCAGGCCCCACUGGGGACUUUUCAUCUACCCAGUAGCUAAAUGAAUCAUGUGACCCUGUGCAAAGCAACAGAGGUGAGAAAAGCAGUUGAGACUGGAGCUGGGAAAAAUAAGCCAGCUGACAAGGAAACAGCGCAAAAUUAGCAAAUACGCACAAAAAAUGUAAAUGAACACUUGCAAAACUUUCCAAGCUUGCUAUAAGCACAAAUAAAAGUCAUGUAGUCUUAUUA